GCAGACACAUUCCAGCCAAUCAGCAGCAGACCCUCCCUCCCAGACCCUCCCACCUCCUGGACAGCUCACUAAGAAUGCAGCUUCACAAUGAAUGCAAAAUGGAUGCUGUCCAGGAGGUGGGAGGGUCUGGGAGGGAGGGUCUGCUGCUGAUUGGCUGGAAUGUGUCUG
rnacentral:miRNA from 1 species